rnacentral:rRNA from 1 species
UGGGGAAUAUUGGACAAUGGGCGCAAGCCUGAUCCAGCUAUGCCGCGUGUGUGAAGAAGGCCCUAGGGUUGUAAAGCACUUUAAGCAGUGAAGAAGGCCAUGUAGUUAAUACCUGCGUGGAUUGACAUUAACUGCAGAAUAAGCACCGGCUAACUCCGUGCCAGCAGCCGCGGUAAUACGGAGGGUGCAAGCGUUAAUCGGAAUUACUGGGCGUAAAGCGCGCGUAGGCGGCUUGGUCAGUUGGAUGUGAAAGCCCUGGGCUUAACCUGGGAACUGCAUUCAAUACUGCUAGGCUAGAGUACGAGAGAGGGGGGUAGAAUUCCUAGUGUAGCGGUGAAAUGCGUAGAUAUUAGGAGGAAUACCAGUGGCGAAGGCGGCCCCCUGGUUCGAUACUGACGCUAAGGUGCGAAAGCGUGGGGAGCAAACAGG